rnacentral:lncRNA from 1 species
GCUCAGUCCCUACGGCCGUCCACCCCUCCACACACUUUCCAUGCCAAACACCAGCCCUAGCUUAUUUUAUCUCUGCUUCACCCAGACCAGCUCUAAAACAAUGUCCCUCUGCCUCCUCCUCCCUUGCCCGAGCCGCGCAUGGAGCUUAAAAUGCUCCGUACACGUACAUACCCGUGCUGCUGGCUCUGAAGGACAUGGGUGGAGACCGAGGCGGGAAGAGGGAGGCACAGGGCGGGGAGAAGCCGCCUGUAGCUUCUCCCAGGCCUCGUUCAGGGCCACCCCCCCAGGGACCUCUGCUAUCUGCUACAUGGAAGCUCGCUCAACUUGCACGUUUGUUUGCGUGGGGCUGCAUACCACAGAUGUGAGUGAAGAGGGGACGAUUAUGUAGCAGUGUGACUGCAGGGCAGGCACUAGACUAAUACUAGUGGACUGGGAGAAGUCACUCUCCAGCGUUUCUUCUUUGCGGAUACGGUGAAGACCCUGUCUGAAAUAAGGUCUUAUCAUCUACCAACAGACAUGGUAAGUCAAGGUGAGGAAAUGGAGACCCAGAUUAUCUUCAAAGUGGUAAAACUAACGGAAGCUAAAACCAGAAUUUGAACUUAACGAUUUAGCUCCGGAUUCCACACCUUGAGAGACAGCAAGGUCUUCGCCCUAGGCAGUGUUGCUUUUCUGAAGCCCACGUGGUGCACCCGGGAAAAAGCCAACCUGCUUUCUGUGCAGCGUCCUGUGGCGGAAUCUCUCUCCCUCCCCUCUGUGGUCACCGACCACCCUGGGGCCCAGGCUUGAGCUCCAGCACCGAGACCAGAAUUGCCCCGGUGUCCCAUCUCCUCUCCCUCAGUUUGGACGGAAGCUUGGGGAAGCCUGUCCUAGUCCUCUACAGGGACUGAAGGCAUUGCUAACUGUCCUCAAAACAGGAAAGAAAAAUUAAGGAAGGGCUGCAGACUGACUGAAACCUGACCACUGGGAGAAACGUUCUGAGAGAAAAGCUGUUUUUCUCCAAGAGGGACUGGAUGGUUUUACUUUCAAUUAGAGUAACUUUCUCCUCUUAGCUUGGAGAAGGAAGGUGGAGCAGGAGGGAGGAUGGAGCCAGAGAAACAGAAAACAAGAAACCUAAAACACAAAUGGGGUUUCGAAAGAGGAGCAGCAUGUGAGACACACAAAAGGGGAUGUGGAGCGCGUUGCAGGCGGGCUGCUACCCUGAGCAGGAGCCAGGUAGCCAGCAGGGGUGUGGGGUGCACGCCUCCCUCACACCACAAGUGUGUUGAGUGCAUGGGGAGGCCACAUCGGGUGGGGAAGGAGAGGAACAGCGCAGCAGGCUACAAACAUGUUUUGGGGCUGGGGAAGUAUGAAUUCCAAGUCUGGCUCCUCUACUUACUUUGUAAAUUGAGCAAAUGCUAUUGGAAUUUCUAAACUUUAAGUUCUUCCACAUUUACAUGUUAAAAAUUAACUGCCCCAUGGAACAAUUCUAAGUAAUGUAUUCAUGUAUUAUAUUAGACAUCAUAGUAAGUAAUAUUGAAAGCAAAGGGAGAUUAUUACAUCCCCAGAACAUUCAAAGUGCUUCAUCCACCAGCUCUAUUUCAUACAACAAUUACACAAGGACCUAAGCUGAAGAGCAGAAUAUGCAGUCCUUACCACCGCACCUAAUGUGGAAGAGGAACUCCGUAAACAAGAAUAGUUACUGCUUAAAAUAUCACCUGUUUAUUUUACACUGUGGGGAAAUAAAGUUUCUUAAAUAGUGAUCUGAUUGCUCGAACUGUCUGGAAAAAGAAUGUAGCUGCCAAAAAAAUAUUUGUAUAGAAAGAAAAUAGCUUAAUUAACAAAUCAAAUAAUUAUAUUCUCACUAAAACUCAUAUUGAACUGCAGUAUGUUUUGACACAAAUUUGUCUAGAUUUUUUCAGAGAGAGAGAGAGACAGACACAGAGAGAAAGAGAUUCAAUUGCUCUUCAAAAUAGUAAGAUCACUGAACAACAGAAUUUUCUUCUCUUAGAUUUAUAAUUUGCCCUCUAAGUUAAGGAAGGACAAUAUGUUUUUAAUCUUGAUCUCAAUAAAAUGUAGAACCAUUAAGUGUGAACAGUGUAUUGAGCAAAUAGUUGCCUAGAUAUAUAAAAUUAGGAUGUAAAAAUAAAUCUUUUAUAGUUAAAAAAAUUUUUUGUUGUUGUUUUUUUGUUUUGGUACUGGGGAUCAAACUUGGGACCUUGUGCUUGUGAGGCAAGGCAGCAGCAACACUGAGCUAAGUUUCCAGCCCUUUAUAAAAAUUUUUAACAACAAAAACUAGGCAAAAUUCUUGAAAUUGUUCACAGAGCUUCUUUUUGUUGUUGUUUUUAUAUGAUGCACUAAAAAACUUAAACAAAGCCGUGGAUUUUUAAUUGUAUUUACUUCACUUUCUAAUUUUAUGUCUUCAUAGUUGUUCAGAAAUUUUCUGAAGUACAAAAUUAUCCCAAAUUCUGAUACCUUCAUAAGUCUUAUGCCUGCUUGUCAUGUGUCUUCCUUUCAUAUUCAGUUUCAGGUAUUUUACUCCAAGGUUUACUUGUGAGUUCUAGAAAUCAUCCAGAAAUCUUAGGGUUGUGUUUGGCCCUUCAGCUCCAUUUGGAAGCACUGUCCUCUGCCUGGUGAAAAUAUUUGUCAUGCUG